ACGAACGCUGGCGGCGUGCCUAAUACAUGCAAGUCGAGCGGAAUGAUGAAGAAGCUUGCUUCUUCUGAUUUUAGCGCGGACGGGUGAGUAACACGUGGGCAACCUACCCUGUAGAUUGGGAUAACUCCGGGAAACCGGGGCUAAUACCGAAUAAUCCAUUUUGCUUCAUGGCGAGAUGUUGAAAGACGGUUUCGGCUGUCACUAUAAGAUGGGCCCGCGGCGCAUUAGCUAGUUGGUAGGGUAAUGGCCUACCAAGGCGACGAUGCGUAGCCGACCUGAGAGGGUGAUCGGCCACACUGGGACUGAGACACGGCCCAGACUCCUACGGGAGGCAGCAGUAGGGAAUCUUCCACAAUGGACGAAAGUCUGAUGGAGCAACGCCGCGUGAGUGAAGAAGGUUUUCGGAUCAUAAAACUCUGUUGUAAGGGAAGAACACGUACGAGAGUAACUGCUCGUACCUUGACGGUACCUUAUUAGAAAGCCACGGCUAACUACGUG
rnacentral:rRNA from 1 species